rnacentral:rRNA from 1 species
UACGAAGGGUGCAAACGUUGCUCGGAAUUAUUGGGCGUAAAGAGCGUGUAGGCGGUUCGGUAAGUCUGUCGUGAAAUCCUGAGGCUCAACCUCGGGCGUGCGAUGGAUACUGCCGGGCUAGAGGGUGGUAGAGGCGAGUGGAAUUCCCGGUGUAGCGGUGAAAUGCGCAGAUAUCGGGAGGAACACCAGUAGCGAAGGCAGCUCGCUGGGCCACACCUGACGCUGAGACGCGAAAGCUAGGGGAGCGAACAGG